AAAAGAACAAGCUAGUUCCCUGAGGGAUAUUUUUCUCCUCAGAAUCCAGCAUUGCCUCUAUAGGCACUUCUCUUCAGUGUCUGAGCUGCAGAUAUAUUUUUCAAGGUCUUGGUGGAGAGCUUUGAUUGUUCUAUCUCAGGAAAUGACAGACAUCACUAGGUAGGGAAAAUCUGGUGCUAGCUUACGGAGCUGUGAGCACUGAACGUGGGAACUUGGACUGCUAUUCUGAGCACAUUUCAGAAAACUCUGUUGCGUCCCAUUACGUGCCUGUCUUUGAUCUCAAAUUGAAAAUCUCGGAGCCUCUUCCUCCAAUCCAAAAGCAAAUAAAUAGUGAAAGAAAGAAACCUCUCUCCUCUCAGCACGUAGGGCCUCCACGACUGAAAAAUGAAGGUGACAGUAAUAGCUCUGAUGAACCUGUUUGGACAACAGACAGCAACAAAUACCUGUCUCUGUGGAGGAGUUUAAGAGCACUGCAGAGAUCCUCAGACAGUGCAGAGCCUCUUGGCUUACACAGGCCACUGUCUUUCUCUCCAAACAAUACCAGCCAAGCUUCCUCUGUACCUACAACUGAAGAGCUGCGGGAACAGGACAGUAACUAAUACAGCUUUCAAAUUUGAAUCUCCUGGUCUUAUUAAAAAAUAAGAAAUGAAGAAAAAAAAAAAAGAAAAGAAAAAGACAUGAAUUCUAAGCAAGAUGAAGGAUUUGAUUCUGAGGAAGAAAACUACACAAGGAGGCUUGAAGCUACAAGGGCAGUCCAGACUGCUUUUUCUCCAACCAGCUACUUUACUCAUGGCCCUUUGAAAGCAGCAAUUCCUGUGAAUCAGCAGUUAAAACGGUAGGUCCACACGGGCUUUGAGCUGAUGAGAACUACUGCUAAAUAGAAAUUCCUGAUAACAGGUGAAUUGUCAAACUGGAAGAUCUGUAAUGUAGUCUGCCUACUUAAGCCAGAGUAGCUCUGUUCAUUUUCAUCCCAUUCGUAUUGUGUUUCAUUUUUAGGAAAAGUCUGUUUCUAUUUAUUUCUUGUCUUGAUAUGGAACUGGGUACAAAAUUGAUUCUAAUAAUAAGCCUCUAAAAUUGUUUAAUUUACUCUCUAAUACUCAAAUAUAGCCUGUGGUUGUAAUUCACAUAUCAACAGCUAGGUAAGUGCUGGGACUCAGUGUUGAAUGGAGGGAGGUUUUGUGAAGUGUGUAUUUGGGAUUCAGAAUCGGAAGAGUUACAAAUGAAAAGCCUUAUUUUAAACUUCGAUUCAGUCUGCUGAUAUUAGCUCUACAGUAAUUGAGUGCUGAGGGG
ensembl:lncRNA